UUACGGGCAGGGUGGGGCGGGGGAGCUCUCAAAGAAACAGGUUGUCGACCAUCUCUGAAGUUUGGGGACACCUGGGGACACAGCCCGGUGCAGUGGCAGGGUCUGGGGCUCUCUGUCCCCCUUUUUGGGACAGAGCCAGAUGCCAGGGUGAAGGCAGUGGGCACCCAGCUGCUGUCGGUGCGGCACCCCUCCCGAGCCUUUCCCUGCAUUUGGUGGUGGCUCGGGGCUCAGGGUGCUCCCAGCCCGCUUUGCUCCUCUCCCCUCCUAGUGGCUGUGUGUCACCGCCUGGCAGAGACCCUUCGCGAGGACCCCGGAUGCUGAGCUCCAGAAUCCAUUUGAAUCGCCGUGAUGCGUCACCUCUGGUGGGUCCCACGGAUUGGAUGCCGAUUGGCUACGCCCGUAGGUGAGCUUGUUGGAGUCUUUCUUCUGCCUCGCAGCUGCACCAAAGGCCGACUGGCCUGGAGGGCAGGCGAGGAAGCGGUCUGGAGACCCGCAACAGGACACGGUUCCCCAGGUGGCCCAAGGACCCCCCAGCCACCCUCCUGCGUGACGAGCUGCCACUUGGGGUUGGCAGGAUUCUCUUGCACUGGGUCACAGAGCCCUUGAGGGCAGGGGCCUUAGGCCGUUUACCUCAUCACUGUUUGUCAGCACAGGGCACAGAGCACAGCCUGUGCAGAAGUUUGACAAAUGAAGGAGUGAGUGAUUUCUGGAAACACAAAGCUAACCUCUGCAGGGGAGACAUCUGCCAGGUUUCCUAGCUUCCCGUAAAGCGAGCGUGCUGCCAGGGCGUUUCUUGGCCUCUGCUCCUGGGGCCUCACUAAGUGCUCACCACCCUCCCUAGAGCCUCCUGAAAGAAGCUUCCAUCCAAGAGGAGAGCAGGUGCAGUGGCCUGGGGGUCAGAGGCCGGCUGGCCAGUGCUGGCUCUGCUCCCACCAGCCCGUGGGUCCGGCCAUGGGGUUCCUGGAGGCAGAUGAGCGGCUCCCGUUGGUGGCUCAAGGCACCAAAGCCCCUCAACUGUGACGCCCGGGCUGGACCUCUUCCCCAGAGCUGGGCAACGCCCAGGGGCUCGGCCCGCAUUGUGGUCCGCUGGUCUACCUUUCCGGGCAGCACCUGCAGAAGGUCCCCAGCAUUGAGUUAUUGCUCUGGGUUCAUCCCUUCCCUUCUCUUCCAUUGUGUGAAGUCCAUUAUCAGAUUCGGGGAAGCCAACCGGCGAGAACCGAGGCUGGUUCCCAGAGCUCAUUCCUUCCUAUGCCAGGCGGCCUGUUCUCACAGAGGAAAGUGAAAGGAGGUGGCCCCCUGGGGUAGUGGGGGCUGCGCAGUGCUUCUCAGCCUGGGGGAACCCCUUCCCCUGAGGACCUCUGGCCUCGUCUGGAGACAUCCUUGGUUGUCACGACUGCUAGGGGGUGGGGAGGGGCGGAGGUACAGGCAUCUGCUGAGCAGGGGCCAGGGAUGCUGCUAAACUUCGUGCGGUGCACAGGACGGCCCCACUGUGGAGACGAUCCAGCCGAGCAGUAGCACCAAGGCCGAGACCCGCGGUGGCUCGUCUGGCCACGCGGUGUGCUCCGUGGCAGCUGUCAGACCCCGUGAGGGUGCUUUUAUUACUGUCACCUGGAGAGAGCACGUUGGACAGGCAGCGGGCGCCCCCGUCCUGGCCUCCGGUGGCUGUGCAGCCGAGGUGGGACCUUGCAGGUGGGCUGGGAGUUAGAAUGGCAUCGUCCACACUCUGCCAGGAGGACCAGCUCAGACGCCGGAGGUAACGGAAAUCUUUGCAAAAGUCCAAAGUGCUUUACAAGCACCAAGUAGGUUUUUUUUUUCUGGGUGGUUUUCAUCAACUCCUGCCCAAGGCCAUGCAAAAGGGUGGCAUCGAAGGGACCUCCGGCCUGGAACCCAACCCUUCCCCAUCAAAGCAGUUCCCAGCAGAGACAACACCAUUUGCAUGAACCACUUCUGACUGAGGCCGCACUUGUGGCUUGCAAGCUGUAAGCGUCCGGCCGCGAUUCAUGAGUGGCUUUGAUCACUGGGACCCCGAAGUGCUUCCCGCUUGGCUGCGGCACUGCCCCGCCAUCGUUUCCCCGCGGCAGGUCCACCGUCUGUACGUCAAUCACGACCCCCCUCUGCUCACUUUGAAAAGUUUCCUUUAUCUCGCUAGAAGCCUCUGGUUUCCUGGGAGCGGUCCACCUCUGAGAUGCUCUGCUGUUUUCGAGAUUGUUUGUCGUGUGUGUGUCCCUGGGAAGCUCGGUUCCAGGACGAGGAGCCGAGGAUGCCACCGUGGACAGGGCUCGCCGUGGCAAACUGGGGGCACGGUGCCUGUCACAACAGAGGCUCCAACCUGAUGCCCAGAGGCGUGACAGGCACCGUGGCGAUAGCUGAGCCAGGUGACCCCAGAGGAAGCUGCCAGCUCAGGCCUGGCCAGAUGCGUGCUGUGACCGCCGUGUGCCCCGCGUGGAGAGGCGGCCAGAGUGAUAGCCUUGCUGCUGACUUACAGGCAAUCUGGCUCAGCCCCCUCUCCCCACCUCUGCCCUCCGCCUCCCAGCUCAUCUGGGACCCCCCAGCUCAUGCCUUAGGGCGUGAAGGCCAUGCUUUGGGCCGCGUGCAGCAGAGCGCGUCCAGACGGUGAUGGGAGACAGGCUGGCCCUGCGCGGACGUCGGCCAGACGCCACACAAAGGACUGAUUGCAGGCUCAGCCAGAAGGCAGCUGUCCACAAGCCAGGGAGAGAGGCUUACAGUCACCAGCCCCGAUGGCACCUCGGUCCGCCUUGCAGGCUCCAGAACUCCGAGAGGGCAAAUGUCUGGGCAUGAGCACCCUGGCCAAUGGCAGUCCCAGCUGAGACUGUGAAAGUCCACCCACAACUUACAUCGUCCCCUGUCCUGCAGCCAGGGGACCUCGGACUGGUUUUGUUUGUUUGGGGCUCUCUUGGCAGCUUCCAUAGAAGCAAGGUGCUCCUUUCCUGGGAUGCUCCGGCUUGACAGCUGUCCGAGGCGGCCCCCAGGGUGGGGACGAGCCAGGCAAGGUAGCUGUGAGCCCAGAGGCCCUGCAUACGCCCUGCUGAGCAGUUCAGUUCCUCCGGUGUCCGCCUGCGGGAAGAUGUUGGUUUUCGCUGCACCUGCCAUCUGGACUCGAUGUCGUUGCCGUUCAGAAAACCGUGUGUUGGCAAACGGAAACUGCAAGGAUGCGCGGUCCCUCGGAGUCCGUGGUGUGCUCCGGGGGAGAGGGGACUUGUUCUCUUCAUGCAGUUCCACUUAACAAGUAUUUAUGGGUGCCUGUCAGGUGCCCAGGUCUUACUCCAGAUGCUGGAGAGAAGCAGGUAAACCAGUCAGAGAACAUCUGUGCCCACGUAGCUUCUGUUUUAGUCGGGAGAGGGUGCAGAAAAUGAACACCUACAAAAAUACCUAGUGGUGGCACAUAUUCCGAAGAAGACAAAAUGGGGUGUCGUGACGGUAGGGGUGGAAGAGGUCAGGGAGGCCUCUCAGAAGAGGGAGGCAGGAGCCGAGAUCAGAACGUCAAGAUUGAAGCAGCCAGGUGAGGAUCCGGAGAGGGCACGCCAGGCGGAGGGAGAGCAGUGCCAAGGUCCUGGGGUAGGAAUGAGCUUGGUGUGUCGGAGGAACCCGAGGGGGCGGGAGUGAGGGAAGAGGGGGAGCAUUAGGUCAAGUGGGAGCCAGGGGUCCCCGUGGGUUGGCUGAGGAGUUUGGAGGCUCGGGACAGCAGGAAGCCACGAGCAAGCUCAGGCGGGACGGGCUGAUGACAUUUUCAGAGGCUCCCUGGGGCUGCUGUGAGGGGUGAGCUCAGAGGGCAAAAACGGAAGUCCCAAGCCCGUCCUUCUCCUCAGCCCCUGCUCCCUGUCUGCUCCAGGCUGCAGCAUCUCACUGGGCUUCUCUCCCUCACCCUUUCUGCAGCCUCCUACCUGGUCUCCCUGCUUCCACUCUUGCCUCUCUAGGGACUGGCUCUAACGGGGCAGCCGGGUGCCCCCAUUCACUCCUCAUCUCGAACCCUCCGGAGGCUUCCGCCUCACCUGAGAAAAGCCAGAGUCCCCACGGGGGCCUGCGGGACCACACGAUCUCUUCUCCCCACCCCCUGCCCCUUCCCCUCCCCAACCAUCUCCCGAGGUCACCACCCAGACUUCCUUCAGGCCUCUUCCCCGCACCCAGCUCUUGCUACCCUCCCUUUCCUCCUGGCCCUUGUAGCCAUAGCUCCCGUGGCUGGUGUCUCUACUCCCGGGUGAGGGCACAGGUCAGGGGCUUCUGUUUGGUGCCCUGCCACCUCCCAGUAUGUAGACCAGCCCUCAGCCCCCAGUGAGGGCUCAGUCAGUACCUGUGUGCUAUUGUCAAAGUCCUGACUUGGAAGGCAAAGGGGGGCUAGUUCCAAGGAGGUCCUUGUGCACGGGGAAGGAUCCGGAUGGACUUGAAGACAGCCCACAGGGCUUGCUGUCCUCUCGGGGGUGAGGGUCGCCAAGGGGCCAACAUUCUUGCAGGGCUUUGCUUGAGCCGCUGAGGCCAUGGUGCAUGAAGGCACGGUGUGCACGUAAGGGAGAUGGGGAGGGAGCCCAUGGGGCAGGCAGGGGUCCAGGGUUCUGCCCGGCCCGGAGAGGUUUGAAACCUCACUAUCCGCACCAAGUUGCUGUGGAAGGAGGCAGCUGGUUGGAACUCUGAGGCUCAGGAGGGUCAUUAAGGCCAGAGGUAACAUCUGCAGGUCAGUGGCCCAGAUGUGUUAUUUGAAUCAGGGCCCAGUGAGAUCCCAAGGAAAGAUCAGGGAUGCCAAGGUCAAGCCAGGGAGGGCAGGUCCACACAUGUGCCUGGGGCACGUCAGCAUUUCAGGCAAACGAAAAGGUCCUCACCGGUUACGCACGUCUUUGUCCUCUGCUCUGGGGCCUGCCUUUUCAGGCGAGCUAUCCGGGUCCGCUCCGCAGCAUGUGUCCUGGAAAUGACUGCGAGAUAAAGUGGGGAACAGUGUGUGAGGGGGGCGCUCCACCCCCCUGGGGACAGGAUGAGUGAAUGUCAUUGCCCACCCUGCACUGGGUCAAGGACCCCAGCGACACAUGCCCUGGUCAUACUGUCCUCUCUCACACCCGGCCAGGGGUGGCUGGACUUCAAAGUCAUCUUCCGAAGACUGCAUUAACAAACUGGGAUGUGUGUCCUGGGGCUUCGAGGCCGUUCGUCGCUCCUGGGUCUCUUCAGUGAGAUCUCCCUGUUCUGAAACACGCCAAAGACUUCCUCUGUCCCACAAGUCCUGCACUGUGCCAGCCGCGGACUCCCCAAAGGUGAGGCCAGGAGGGCUGCAAGCCGGUUUCCUAGGAAACGUUAAAUCAGCCCCCUCCUCCCUCCAAAUCCCACUCUUUCAAUUUUCUUCUGGUGGACUGGUAUUUUCGCUGUGAUUCCGUCCCAGGCCUUCUGACCUAAUUCCAAUUUACUUGUUGGAGUUUCUUAUUUCCUCUCGACACUGACUCUGAUACACGAGGCUGUUUUAUCACUGGGUGGUUUUAAUUUUCAUACAGAGACUUGUGGUUUCCCAUUUUCUGUGUUUCCUUUGAGUUUCAGCCAACAGGAGCAUAACGCCUAUGAAAGGCACACGGAUUCCAUGGGCUGUUUGUUGAAUUAUUCAAAGUGCUCCUUUAUUAUUCCCUUUGUGUCAGUCUAUGUGGCUUCUUACCAGAGGCAUGACUUACAUGGUAGGCUACUGUGUGUCCAGUAUGGAUGAUCUUGAGGGGACAAGCAAGGGAAUGCAGCUUUGCCCCAGGAGAAGGUUGCUAUCAGCACAGCCAGAGAACAUUCACAGGAUCCAAGAUGGCAGAUGCAAACCCCCUGGCCCAGUAGGUCGGUGGGAUGUUGUGAAGGACGACUCUUAGCCAGAGCAGAAGUAGAAGCAAGCUCAUGGGAUGGGAAAUUCUUGGUAUUGUUGGAUUUUGGAUUGGUUCAUUCAUAUAGACAAUAAAUAUGUGCUAGACACGUA